rnacentral:rRNA from 1 species
AUAGACAUGCAAGUCGAGCGAACAGAAGGGAGCUUGCUCCCGGAUGUUAGCGGCGGACGGGUGAGUAACACGUGGGUAACCUGCCUGUAAGACUGGGAUAACUCCGGGAAACCGGAGCUAAUACCGGAUAGUUCCUUGAACCGCAUGGUUCAAGGAUGAAAGACGGUUUCGGCUGUCACUUACAGAUGGACCCGCGGCGCAUUAGCUAGUUGGUGGGGUAAUGGCUCACCAAGGCGACGAUGCGUAGCCGACCUGAGAGGGUGAUCGGCCACACUGGGACUGAGACACGGCCCAGACUCCUACGGGAGGCAGCAGUAGGGAAUCUUCCGCAAUGGACGAAAGUCUGACGGAGCAACGCCGCGUGAGUGAUGAAGGUUUUCGGAUCGUAAAGCUCUGUUGUUAGGGAAGAACAAGUGCGAGAGUAACUGCUCGCACCUUGACGGUACCUAACCAGAAAGCCACGGCUAACUACGUGCCAGCAGCCGCGGUAAUACGUAGGUGGCAAGCGUUGUCCGGAAUUAUUGGGCGUAAAGGGCUCGCAGGCGGUUUCUUAAGUCUGAUGUGAAAGCCCCCGGCUCAACCGGGGAGGGUCAUUGGAAACUGGGAAACUUGAGUGCAGAAGAGGAGAGUGGAAUUCCACGUGUAGCGGUGAAAUGCGUAGAGAAUGUGGAGGAACACCAGUGGCGAAGGCGACUCUCUGGUCUGUAACUGACGCUGAGGAGCGAAAGCGUGGGGAGCGAACAGGAUUAGAUACCCUGGUAGUCCACGCCGUAAACGAUGAGUGCUAGUGGUUUU